GUGAUGCCAAUUUAGCUGUUUUCCCGCUAAAUCUAGUGUUUUUCAAAGUUCAUCUAGCUGGUAAAUUUAAAAAAUGCGGAUAACGCCCUUGCAAUCUUCACCCGUUACCCUGGGCAGGGAUCCUUGGCAGGUGCUGGUUCCCCGGACCAGGGAGCCCCUGGAAUCUGCGGUGGGCAGGGGUUGAUUCAAUUCCCCUGAUAGGACUGUCCAUAAGGAGUUCCUACCCGCUACCCGGAUGAUAUAAUAAUACAAAUACAAACCAAUCCUAAAAUAUAUUACAAUCGAAAUUUCUUAUGUAUACCUAUAUAUAGCUAUAAAUAGGCAAAUUCCAAUAGUAUUUCUACCUAUCGUAUUCGCAUUUUCAAAUCAAUUAUGCGCGCUUUCCGUUUGUACAAUUAUUAUUACAUAGUUUAUAUAUUAUAACGCAGAUUUAAAAAAUUAUACAUAAAAAAUUUAAUUAUAUUUAUUAUUACUAAACUUGCGGUCUACAUAUUAUUGUCAAUAUUCCGUCUAAUAAUUUUAACUAUCGAAUUAUGUCUCCUUGCUCCCGCUUACUUGUACAUACUUUUUAUGUAUGUAUCUGCCGGCUUUUUUUUUUUUUUUUUUUUUUUUAUAGAGGAGGAAAUCUUCAAAAGACUCCCCGAAAGACUAGGAGAGUGUGGGAUUCAGCGGAAGGCACGUCAGACGAAAAGCCUCACCGCCGCCUACCCACUAAAACCUCCUCUUUCCUAUAACAUGACCUAACGAGAAAAGUCUGAAACAGGCGGUAAACAACACAUUUGCGAGCCCUACAACCCUAGAUUUAUUUAUCCGUAUUUCCAUUUAUUCGUUUACCUAUUCACACAUUCCUACCUACCCGUAUCCCUACCUACCCGGAUCCCUACCUACCUACGUUAAUUUUUGACACUCUUUUGAUAAAUUUCUUCUUUUUUUCCGGCCAGAUUGGACUCACCUUUCGUUGAUCCUGGCCAAAUCCAUUCUAGCUGCAUGACAGCCAGAUAAUUUAAGACAUUUAAGUAAUAGCGAAUUAAACAAGUAUAUACAUUUAUACUUGUUUUAAAUAAAAAUAUUUUAACAAAAAAAUUUAAAAACAUUUAGAACAACGAAUCUAUGAAAAGUCGCAUUUAUCUGUAUUAUUUAUAAGACAUAAUAAAUAAAGAGAUUUAAUAUAAAUUUUAUAGAUUCGUUGUUUUAUAAAAAAAAAUCGUCACUCACCGAUCCGAUGCGCAACGAGCGGAGUUAUUCAGCCACGAAGCUGCGAUGAUACUGUAACACACAAAUAUAAGAUUCAAAUUAAAACAGUGCUUAAAAUAAUAAAUAUUUUUGAAAAUUUUAUAAUUUAUAUAUUAAAUAUUAUAUUAUAUA
rnacentral:lncRNA from 1 species